rnacentral:rRNA from 1 species
CUCAGGGAGGUAGUGACAAGAAAUAACAACACUGGAAAUUUUAUUUCUAGUGAUUGGAAUGAUGGGAAUUUAAACCCCUUUCAGAGUAACAAUUGGAGGGCAAGUCUGGUGCCAGCAGCCGCGGUAAUUCCAGCUCCAAUAGCGUAUAUUAAAGUUGUUGCAGUUAAAAAGCUCGUAGUUGGAUGUCUGCUGGAAGCAAUCAGUCCGCCCUAUUUGUAGGGUGUGCACUUGAUGAAUUCUGGCAUCUAUAUGUCCCAAUGUGAUAUACGCGAUGGUGUUAUUAAUAUAUAGGUUAAUCCUGUAUAUUAUAUACCCAUUUGUGUAAUAUUGGGAUAAUACCGUUACUUUGAGAAAAUUAGAGUGUUUGAGGCAGGCUAAUUGCCUUGAAUACUGCAGCAUGGAAUAACAAUAUAGGAUUUCGGUUCUAUUUUGUUGGUUUCUAGGACUGAAAUAAUGAUUAAUAGGGACAGUUGGGGGCAUUCGUAUUUAACCGUCAGAGGUGAAAUUCUUAGAUUUGUUAAAGACGAACUACUGCGAAAGCAUUUGCCAAAGAUGUUUUCAUUAAUCAAGAACGAAAGUUAGGGGCUCGAAGACGAUCAGAUACCGUCGUAGUCUUAACCAUAAACUAUGCCGACUAGAGAUAGGAAACUGUCAUUUUUCUGACUU